GAUUAAUGACAUUUAUAGUGCUGUUUCCCUGCUUUGAAGAAGGGAGAUUUUCUAUCUGUCAUGCAGGACAUUAAAGAAGAAGGAGAUGAACCGGGACAGAGGAGAAGGAGCUCUCUGUCAGUGUGGAAGCACAGGGGACCUGAGCAUGGGGACCUGAGCUGACGGGUUCUAGGUUUAAAAAUACAUUUCUGAGUUUUCUGUUAGCAGAGAGUAAAAUAAAUCCCAAGGUUUCCAUAGCCCAAGGGGAAUAUUUGGGCAGUGCUGUGUAACAUUCAGUAAUUAGGGUGAAUGGCAUUCAAAUGUUUCACCUUUUCUCUGGUGAAGAUUUAUGUGAUUCAAGGUGAAAUAGAUGAGGUAUAGCACGAGAAAUCCACAGAUUUCUGCUUCAGAACAUCCUAAGGGAAGAAAUAGUCUAGGGUAGGCUCAUGGUAGUCAUAAUCUUGCUUCCCUCUGGCUAAAAGGAGCAUUUUCAACCUGGAUUUCCCAAAUCCCUGUAAGUGUGGGAUGUUUGCCCGAGUCUUCCCUAAAAGGAUGGCUCAGCAGAGCAAGCAUCGUAACAGGACCGUGCAAACCUACUUAGGCAUGUAACUCCUGAAUGAGGCAAGGGUUAAAGCCUUUGCUGUUUGAUCUGUGUACUUUAGCACAAGGCUCCCACGCAGCACACUGGCUUUUUUGAACGUGCUGCCUGGUUGUGUAGGAGGGCAGUGGCAAGGCAGUCAAACCAAUGAAAAGGAAAUCUUCUACCGUUCUGACCCCCCUCCCACCUCCACUGAUCCUGUGGGAAGACUAUUUAGGGAGAUCAUCCAGCAAAACUCAAGCAACACUCCCCUCCACCCCCCUGGUUACCCACAGCUAUUUGUUUUGUUGUGUUUUCCACCGGGUAUGUUUCCAGCCAGCUGGCCAGGCCAUCGUUCCCUGAUUUCCCACGCAGGGACAGAGCAUCCAGUCCAAGUGGGAGAUAAGCAGAAGCUUGGAGGGAAAAAUUAUCUGCAGUGACCCAAAGUCCAGAGGCAGAACCACUGGGCUCCAUCUACCUCCUCAAGCCUGUGACCUGAAGGUUGAGCUCAAGGACACAUCCAAGCAAGUCACCAGAGUUUUCCCUUUGCUCUGCCUGCUGGCCUCUUCA